rnacentral:rRNA from 2 species
CUGCGGCAGCGACACUGUGUGUUGUUGGGUAGGGGAGCGUUCUGUAAGCCUGUGAAGGUGUGUCGUGAGGCAUGCUGGAGGUAUCAGAAGUGCGAAUGCUGACAUAAGUAACGAUAAAGCGGGUGAAAAGCCCGCUCGCCGGAAGACCAAGGGUUCCUGUCCAACGUUAAUCGGGGCAGGGUGAGUCGACCCCUAAGGCGAGGCCGAAAGGCGUAGUCGAUGGGAAACGGGUUAAUAUUCCCGUACUUGGUGUUACUGCGAAGGGGGGACGGAGAAGGCUAUGUUGGCCGGGCGACGGUUGUCCCGGUUUAAGUGUGUAGGUGUGUGUUCCAGGUAAAUCCGGUUCACUUUAACACUGAGGCGUGACGACGAGGCACUACGGUGCUGAAGCAACAAAUGCCCUGCUUCCAGGAAAAGCCUCUAAGCAUCAGGUAACAUCAAAUCGUACCCCAAACCGACACAGGUGGUCAGGUAGAGAAUACCAAGGCGCUUGAGAGAACUCGGGUGAAGGAACUAGGCAAAAUGGUGCCGUAACUUCGGGAGAAGGCACGCUGACACGUAGGUGAAGUGAUUUACUCAUGGAGCUGAAGUCAGUCGAAGAUACCAGCUGGCUGCAACUGUUUAUUAAAAACACAGCACUGUGCAAACACGAAAGUGGACGUAUACGGUGUGACGCCUGCCCGGUGCCGGAAGGUUAAUUGAUGGGGUCAGCGCAAGCGAAGCUCCUGAUCGAAGCCCCGGUAAACGGCGGCCGUAACUAUAACGGUCCUAAGGUAGCGAAAUUCCUUGUCGGGUAAGUUCCGACCUGCACGAAUGGCGUAAUGAUGGCCAGGCUGUCUCCACCCGAGACUCAGUGAAAUUGAACUCGCUGUGAAGAUGCAGUGUACCCGCGGCAAGACGGAAAGACCCCGUGAACCUUUACUAUAGCUUGACACUGAACAUUGAGCCUUGAUGUGUAGGAUAGGUGGGAGGCUUUGAAGUGUGGACGCCAGUCUGCAUGGAGCCGACCUUGAAAUACCACCCUUUAAUGUUUGAUGUUCUAACGUGGACCCGUUACCCGGGUUGCGGACAGUGUCUGGUGGGUAGUUUGACUGGGGCGGUCUCCUCCUAAAGAGUAACGGAGGAGCACGAAGGUUGGCUAAUCCUGGUCGGACAUCAGGAGGUUAGUGCAAUGGCAUAAGCCAGCUUGACUGCGAGCGUGACGGCGCGAGCAGGUGCGAAAGCAGGUCAUAGUGAUCC